rnacentral:rRNA from 1 species
UUAAACUUGAGAGUUUGAUCAUGGCUCAGAACGUACGCUGGCGGCACGCCUAACACAUGCAAGUCGAACGCAGUAGCAAUACUGAGUGGCAAACGGGUGAGUAACAUGUGGGUAUCUGCCCUUCGGCCUGGAAUAACACGAGGAAACUUGUGCUAAUACCGGAUAAGUCUUUACAGAGAAAGCUUUAUGCACCGAUGGAUGAGCCCGCACCUGAUUAGUUAGUUGGUGAGGUAAUGGCUCACCAAGACAAUGAUCAGUAGCUGAUUUGAGAGGAUGAUCAGCCACAUUGGGACUGAGACACGGCCCAAACUCCUACGGGAGGC